AUUGAUGUCACUUAGAUGGAGGGAGAGGAGACAGGUUAAAGAAGCUAUGAUCCCUUAUUGAUGUCACUUAGAUGGAGGGGAGGAGACAGGUUAAAGAAGCUAUGAUCCCUUAUUGAUGUCACUUAGAUGGAGGGGAGGAGACAGGUUAAAGAAGCUAUGAUCCCUUAUUGAUGUCACUUAGAUGGAGGGGAGGAGACAGGUUAAAGAAGCUAUGAUCCCUUAUUGAUGUCACUUAGAUGGAGGGGAGGAGACAGGUUAAAGAAGCUAUGAUCCCUUAUUGAUGUCACUUAGAUGGAGGGGAGGAGACAGGUUAAAGAAGCUAUGAUCCCUUAUUGAUGUCACUUAGAUGGAGGGGAGGAGACAGGUUAAAGAAGCUAUGAUCCCUUAUUGAUGUCACUUAGAUGGAGGGGAGGAGACAGGUUAAAGAAGCUGUGAUCCCUUAUUGAUGUCACUUAGAUGGAGGGGAGGAGACAGGUUAAAGAAGCUAUGAUCCCUUAUUGAUGUCACUUAGAUGGAGGGGAGGAGACAGGUUAAAGAAGCUAUGAUCCCUUAUUGAUGUCACUUAGAUGGAGGGGAGGAGACAGGUUAAAGAAGCUAUGAUCCCUUAUUGAUGUCACUUAGAUGGAGGGGAGGAGACAGGUUAAAGAAGCUGUGAUCCCUUAUUGAUGUCACUUAGAUGGAGGGGAGGAGACAGGUUAAAGAAGCUAUGAUCCCUUAUUGAUGUCACUUAGAUGGAGGGGAGGAGACAGGUUAAAGAAGCUGUGAUCCCUUAUUGAUGUCACUUAGAUGGAGGGGAGGAGACAGGUUAAAGAAGCUAUGAUCCCUUAUUGAUGUCACUUGUUAAAUCCACUUCAAUCAGUGCAGAUGGAGGGGAGGAGACAGGUUAAAUACAUAUUUUUAAGCCUUGAGAAAAUUGAGACCUGGAUUGUGUUUGUGUGCCAUUCAGAGGGUGAAUGUGCAAGAUACAAUAUAGAAGUGCUUUUGAACAGGGUAUGGUAGUAGGUGCCAGUUUGUGUCAAGAACUGCAAU